AAGUUGCUUAGCAAUUUUUUUUGUGAAGCAAAUUAUGUGGUAGAUUCUGUUCACCCAAUUGUAUGCAUGGCUUGUCGAUUUUUGUUGCACUUGAUGUUUGUUGAUAGAUAACUAGGAAAGGUUUUAAUUUGAGAUGCUCUAUCAGAGAGCAGACUAAAUUUUGAUUGACUUCAGAAAGUGGUGAAGAAAACCUAUUUUCUGGUAGAAUUUUUAUGGAGGAAAAUUUAAAAGGCUUAUGGGGAUAUGAAACCAAAUGUGUGUUUAAGUGUGCUUGAAUUAUUGCAGGAUGACUCACCAUGAUUUUAAAGACUCUCUCAGGAAAUCUUGACAAAUCUCUAAAGUUGUAUUAUGCAAAUAUAAUGAUGGAGGUCAGUAAAGAGAGAAGAACGUACGAAUUGUUUCAGAUCUAAACAUAGAUACUUGCAUGAAGGCAAUUUCUGCCAAAGGAUGAAAAACUACCCUUAAAACAGAUCAUGUUUUAAAGGUCCUUGGACUCGAUAUCUGUGCUGACACAAUAGUGGGAGAUGAGAUGAGAAGAGGCAUCUCGGGAAGUCAAAAAAGGAGGCUGACUACAGGGAAUACACACAGCUAUCAAAUUCCAUGGAUAUUCAAAGAUGCUAUUUUCUCUAUUCCUACUAUUUUAUUUAUUAAGCAUAUCGAGCAUGAUAAUCUGAAGUUGUUGAGGAAGAACAGUGAAAGAAUUGAGCUGUAAGUGUUUGUAUUUCUUUCCAUUUUGGAAUUUUGAGAUUUGAAUUGUUGCCAAGUUUGAGUCUUUGUUAAUUUGCUUGUUGAAAGUUUGGUUUUUUUAUGGUGGUUUUAUGAGGUUUCAGCUCAAAAUUAGUGUAGGAAUGCUGUUCACUUAGAAGGAAUCUGCUGUUGUUAUAAUUGUU